CCCUUAGAUGUCCUGGGCCGCACGCGCGCUACACUGACAUGUUCAACAAGCCUCCUAGUUCGACAGGAUUUGGGAAAUCUUUGAACGCAUGUCGUGAUAGGGAUAGAUCAUUGCAAUUAUUGAUCUUGAACGAGGAAUUCCUAGUAAACGCGAGUCAUCAGCUCGCAUUGACUACGUCCCUGCCCUUUGUACACACCGCCCGUCGCACCUACCGAUUGAAUGUUUCGGUGAAGAUUCCGGAUAGGACUUUUUUGAUUUAUUUCAAUUUUGUCUUAAAAGCUAUCUAAACCUCAACAUUUAGAGGAAGGUGAAGUCGUAACA
rnacentral:rRNA from 1 species